UACGAAGGGGGCUAGCGUUGCUCGGAAUCACUGGGCGUAAAGCGCACGUAGGCGGAUCUUUAAGUCAGGGGUGAAAUCCCAAGGCUCAACCUUGGAACUGCCCUUGAUACUGGGGAUCUCGAGUCCGGAAGAGGUUGGUGGAACUCCGAGUGUAGAGGUGAAAUUCGUAGAUAUUCGGAAGAACACCAGUGGCGAAGGCGGCCAACUGGUCCGGCACUGACGCUGAGGUGCGAAAGCGUGGGGAGCAAACAGG
rnacentral:rRNA from 2 species